AGAGUUUGAUCCUGGCUCAGGACGAACGCUGGCGGCGCGCCUAACACAUGCAAGUCGAACGAGAGAGAGGAAGCUUGCUUCCUCAAUCGAGUGGCGAACGGGUGAGUAACGCGUGAGGAACCUGCCUCAAAGAGGGGGACAACAGUUGGAAACGACUGCUAAUACCGCAUAAGCCCACGGCUCGGCAUCGAGCAGAGGGAAAAGGAGCAAUCCGCUUUGAGAUGGCCUCGCGUCCGAUUAGCUAGUUGGUGAGGUAAUGGCCCACCAAGGCGACGAUCGGUAGCCGGACUAAGAGGUUGAACGGCCACAUUGGGACUGAGACACGGCCCAGACUCCUACGGGAGGCAGCAGUGGGGAAUAUUGCACAAUGGGGGAAACCCUGAUGCAGCGACGCCGCGUGGAGGAAGAAGGUCUUCGGAUUGUAAACUCCUGUUGUUGAGGAAGAUAAUGACGGUACUCAACAAGGAAGUGACGGCUAACUACGUGCCAGCAGCCGCGGUAAAACGUAGGUCACAAGCGUUGUCCGGAAUUACUGGGUGUAAAGGGAGCGCAGGCGGGAAGACAAGUUGGAAGUGAAAUCUAUGGGCUCAACCCAUAAACUGCUUUCAAAACUGUUUUUCUUGAGUAGUGCAGAGGUAGGCGGAAUUCCCGGUGUAGCGGUGGAAUGCGUAGAUAUCGGGAGGAACACCAGUGGCGAAGGCGGCCUACUGGGCACCAACUGACGCUGAGGCUCGAAAGUGUGGGUAGCAAACAGGAUUAGAUACCCUGGUAGUCCACACCGUAAACGAUGAUUACUAGGGUGUUGGAGGAUUGACCCCUUCAGUGCCGCAGUUAACACAAUAAGUAAUCCACCUGGGGAGUACGACCGCAAGGUUGAAACUCAAAGGAAUUGACGGGGGCCCGCACAAGCAGUGGAGUAUGUGGUUUAAUUCGACGCAACGCGAAGAACCUUACCAAGUCUUGACAUCCUGCGACGCACAUAGAAAUAUGUUUUCUCUUCGGAGCAAGGAGACAGGUGGUGCAUGGUUGUCGUCAGCUCGUGUCGUGAGAUGUUGGGUUAAGUCCCGCAACGAGCGCAACCCUUACUGUCAGUUACUACGCAAGAGGACUCUGGCAGGACUGCCGUUGACAAAACGGAGGAAGGUGGGGAUGACGUCAAAUCAUCAUGCCCUUUAUGACUUGGGCUACACACGUACUACAAUGGCGUUAAACAAAGAGAAGCAAGACCGCGAGGUGGAGCAAAACUCAGAAACAACGUCCCAGUUCGGACUGCAGGCUGCAACUCGCCUGCACGAAGUCGGAAUUGCUAGUAAUCGUGGAUCAGCAUGCCACGGUGAAUACGUUCCCGGGCCUUGUACAAAGCGCCCGUCA
rnacentral:rRNA from 1 species